rnacentral:lncRNA from 1 species
CAGAGAGAUUUUUGUACACACAGAAGAUCAUUCUGUGAAAAAGUAAAACACAUCGAGACUCUGAUAUUACAAGUUUUAGUCCUACAAAUUUUCCUUGGAAGAACACAUAUCUCUAAGACGGAUUAAUAAAAGAGUAUGUGAUCACCAAUGUUGCCCCUUCUCCCACACUCAAAUCCCAAUUAGAAAUCCCUCACUUUCCUCUCACUUGGGAGUAAAAGCCUGUUGCAAACACAACCAAAACAAUCAAAUGUUAGCCUCUAAUUAAGCACCUGUAAAUAGGUUUAACUCUAAUUGAGUUGUACUAAUUGCACUUACAGCAAAGAUGGUGGCAUGGCCCGGAUCAGCAAGGUGAGCAAAGAGGUUGUCAAUUGGGCCAGUGCCAGUGUAAAUGUGUUGGAACCAAGCCCCCAUCACAGCCAACAUAGCCAGUCUCCCAUUCUUAAUCUCCUUUGUCCUCAGCUCCUUGACCUUUUCAGGUGAACCACUUCCCCAUCCAAGUGGGUCAAACCAAAGCCCGCCUGGGUACCCAACAUCUGUCCCGGUGAGCUUGUUGUUGGGGAAGAUCGGGUCGGUGUUAACAGACCCAGGCUUGAGGAUGUCGGCCCAUCUCCUGCCCUCGGCCCACCCAAUCAAAACCAGCUCAACAACAAACAGAGUGGUGGUGUCUGUGAAGUACUCUUGUUCUCCAGCUGUGUACCAUGAAGGGGUGUUUAGAAUGCCAAUUUUGGUCAAGAAUUCUGGGAUGAAGAUGCCAGCUGCACCUAACAUAGCCCAUCUGCAGUGUACAAGUUCUGCUUGCUGGUUCCAUCUCAAGCUGUCAGGGUCAGAUGCUGUUGCAAUAGAACAAAGAUUAGUCACAAUUGAAGAUUAUGUGUUCAUAAGGUUUAUUAUUAAUAUUUGAUGUUGACUUACAAAGACCAAGGGGAUCAAAGCCAAAGUCUCCUGGGAGGCUGCAUUAUCAUAGUAUAAACACUUGAUCAGAAACUAGCAAAGCAAGGGAUAUAAAUUACAGGGAGAAGAGUAUAUAUGGAGUAACAAACGCAUACUUAUGUUGUGCGAUUGUGAAUCUAGACCACAUAUUUAGACAAAUGUCAACCUGACUGACAAUUUAAUAAGAGAACAUAAUAUUACUAAAUAUUUCGAACCGACCUUCCAUCGAGCCAUGGAGGAGGGGUGCUGCCUGGGAACCACAAGGGUCUAUCAGGGUCAGCUGCAGCAGCACGUACUGUGAAAGAUGUUGAUGAUCCAGAGGACGCUGUCAAGUUCCUCACUCUGAGCUUCCUCCCACCAAAGAAAGAAGCCUUUGUUGCUGCCAAAGUAGACCCAGCCUUCUGGGAGCUGCAGUAUGAUUUAUGUCUUUCUUGUAUUAAUUAAACAUGCAACUAAAACAGUCCAAAUUCAACUAAACCCUAAAUUAUAUUAUUAAAGUUUGCACGUAGCAGAACUUGCCUGGGAGAAGAUAUGGCAACGGCUGCAAUGGCAGAAGAAGAAGCCCAAGCGGAAGCCAUUUGGAGAUUGAGGCUUGUAACCAAAUUUGCUUUGUUUGUUUGAUCAGUGAAAUUGUAUGUGGCAAUGGCCUAGAGAUGUGAAUGUGUUGCUAAUGUAAGAAUUGAAGGGGCUUAUCUUAAAGGAUAGGAGAGAGGUAUCCGAUUGGCUUUUGGGCUGCCAUGUGGCAAGUAGAAUCUGAUACGGGGCCCCAGUGAACCCUUCUCGUCCAGUUGUUGAGCUUACCUGGAAUAAUCACAGACUGGUGGUUCUCAUUACAAGUCAGAAUGACCAAUAUAUCUAACAACUGAUUGCAACCAAUGAGGCCUUGGUAUAAGGGGACCCUAUAGAUUUCUGAUAUACUCAUACAAGGUAAGGAUUUUUUAUCCAAUGUAAUAUGUGUUUAUAUAAAUGUAACACAUAAACACAAUAUUAUUAACACAAAAUGUACGAGAACAGCAUCUUCUUUAAGUUUCAUAUUAUUCUCACCCAAACCUAAAAGCCUAAAUAUGGUCUUAAUCAUACACUUUUCUAUUGAUUCUUUUAAUCAAAGUUCCGUAUAGAUGUCACAUUAUUAACUUUUAGAACUCAUUUGGUAACCGUAUUGGACCGUACUAGACCACGUUUAGUUUAGUUGUCUUAAAACGAAUUCACUUGUAUUGUAAUGUACAGAGUUUGUAACCCUUUUUAGUAGAUUUACAUUUUUGGAGUUUAGAAUUUGAAGUAUGGAGUUUAAGAUUUGAAUUUGAACAUUUUUUUCACAUAGGACAUGUCAUGGUUACUUACAUUACGUAUAGGCCUUAACGAAAAAGAAGAAAAGGAACAUGAUAUUGCUGUGUGGGCUUGUUUAAGAAAACAUAACUUCCGAGAUGGAUUUCAGACCUUCCAUCACAAGAAGCCCAGCUGAGAUUCAUUGGGUCAGGAGGACCAAGUGUUCAACCAAGCAUACAAAAUCAAACAAAGGGAUGGUAGGACCUGAAGUUCCAAGUAGCUUUAAAAUGGAAUUCAAGAAUAAUGCAAAGAGCUGAGCCCAAGCAAAAAGGCUAAAAGCCGCUUUAAAAUGAAUCACUUUUAUUCCGUGUCCUUUUGGCACUUUGGGGAAAGAGUGUUUGUUACUCAAGUAAUGAACACAAACCAACUGUAAAAAAUCAUUAGGGAAGAAAGGGAAAGAACCCAAAUGAUCCAACUGCAGCUAGAUCAAACCCAAAACAUUCAAUAAUUUCAGUGGAGAAGUCAAAUUAUGUGGAUUAAAGCACAAAAGUUUUGACUUUUGACAGCAUAUGGCAACUCACACCCAGAUAUGCAAUGGAAGAGUAAAUCUGUAAAUGGCUUCUCCACCCACAAUGAUGAAAACUUUUCAAUCAUGCAAGGAUAAAAGGUAAAUAAAAACCAUGUAUCAAUCAAGGUUUACUGAGACAUAAUUAUCCAAAAAUUCACCCCAUCAGAUAAAGCAACCGACCAGGAAAUCUGGUUUGGUAGAAAAUAAGCCUUUUAAGGAAGCAAAUGGUGGUUAGCAGAUUUGGGUUAACGUAAUUAGUGAUUGUUUUGAGGUCUGCCAACAACAUCAAAGCAUGUUUGAUAUAAAAAAGGAUUUAUCGUCCAAUCCAGUUUAAGAGCUUAAGCCAAAUCUUUAUGUUCUCCUUCACUUUGGAUUCCUUCUCUAUGAUUUUUCCAUGCAACCAUGUGCUGGCUAUUACCAAUGCAAUUAUGUCUCUCAAGAAAUUAUAGCAUAUAAAAACGGUGUCGUAAUUAUGUCCCGUAGAAUAAUUAUAUAACAUUACAAAACCACAAAUAAUUAUAAACUUUGAUUGGCAUACAAUUCUACAUAUAUAUAUAUAUAUAUAUAUCUCUCUCCUCUCUCAUCCUUUUUUUUCAAAUUGCUUGUUAAUUGCGGGGUCAACAAGCGAAGACGCAGUCCUAUGAAUCAUUGUAUUUGGUUGACGAGUGUGAAUUAGAAAGUAAAUAAUAAAAAGAAACCGAGUCCCAGAGAGAGUUAUUGUUCUGAAAGUACUAAAAUGAUGCACCUGCGAAAAGCUAAUUAUAUUAUUGUGUCGGAUUUUAUUUCUGAAUUGGACCCAAAUAAUAUCAUGCUGCUUCACAAUUUAUGUUCACACCAGUCAUCAUGCAGUCACAUGCAUUUGCUAUCGGUGAUGAAUUUUGUUUCAAGGAUUGUGAUUAAUGGUGGGGGCAAAUCCUAUGCCAAUAAUGACCCUGUUUUGUAGCUGGAUAGUACAUUGCAAGGUAGUAUAAUUCAUGGCGGUAAACUGGUAAUCACUACAUAAUUGUGUUUUGGCAGAUCAAAAACCUACUCUGGAGUCACCUUUUCCCCUAGCCGAAACACAAAAUGGAAAAGUUAAAGGAGAAAAUCUUGCGUGUAACCGAUUAUAUAUAUGUAACCAAGAAGUCUAUUCUUGUGAACCAAAUGCAUAUACUUUGUUUACUUUAAAAACUUGUAAGAGCCUGAAAUUUUAUGGUUGACCCCAUCAUCACAUAUCUUUUUAUAUAUAUUAAUUAGUUUUAAGCCAUAGAUUUAUUUAGUAACCUUGACACCAUUCUAAUUAUAUAAUUGAUUGAAAAUUAUACUAUACAAUCGAAAUUGACUUAGAAUUGGUUUGUAAGUGCAAUAGUUUCCACCUUCUCCUAAGUGCAAGCAAACGAUACAAAGAAGGGAGAUGAUAUGAUUGAUGUGGCACCAUCACAUUUAUUACCCAAUUGUUUGUUUUCCAAGUACUACCAUUUAGGGUUCAUGUCAAGUAGGUAGUUCAUUUUAGCCCUAGCUACGUACCCUCCCAUAAACCUACAAACUACAAGGACUAAGAGAGAAGUGUGACUUGUCAAUCGGGUCGAUGAAUCGAAAAGAAAAUAUGCGGAGGAUGAACGAAAGGACUAUUUGGUAAGGUCAUAAUCUUUGAUUAUUGCAACAUGGUGAUGUUUACUUAAGUUAAGAUUAGAUGCCGACCAAACAUCAGGGUUUUGUAUGCUUUAUCUGUAAUGAUGCAACCAUUGCUUCUUGUACCACCUAAUCUCCCCCUCUUUCUAUCUCCAUUUGGAUGAGAACAACAUACGACCCCUUGUCGGCUCUUUGGACGGCUGGUUACUUUCAUCAUGUUACAUGUAUGUUGUUCCCAUUAGUCAAGAGUCAACCUUAUAUUAUAUCAAAUUAAAAACCAUUAGCGGGUAAUAAUACAGAUUAAUUAUUGCCGAUAGCGAAUCGGCAUGAGUUUUAUCUGUAAGUCAAUUAUAGAAAAAUUGAAGCCAACAAAUUGGUUAGAUAAAAUGGAGCUCUCAAGCAUGACGAACAACCUGAAAUCCGUGAAGAUGCAUGCAUAUGUUAAGAGCCAAAGGGAAGCUAUAUAGCGGCAUUAUCGUGUUGGCUUAACACAAUUUUCUUCUGAAUUUUUUAUAUGGGAUUUGUGUAUUUUAGGUGCAUGCCAUAUGUUUGGGCUUGGAAGUUGGACGUUUAACUAUUUUCUAUUCAUUCUUUAACUUUGCUUUCGAGUUUGGAUAUGAAAGUCUGCGUUUUUAAUUUAUUUUUUUUUGUGUGAAAUGACGUGGGGUUUUAUGCUACUACAUAAACAAAGUCAGAAAGAGACGUGCAUAUAUAUUUUUAUCGAGUCACAAUUUGGAAGGAAUGUUACAUGCUAAUUAAUUCACUUCUAGAAGCUGUUACAUCAAAAUCACAACAACCCUAGCUAAAUCCUCCAAGAAGUUAACAUAUAUUUGAUAUGUCCCAAACGUUCUAGUUUGUGGGGGGAAAUAGAGAAAGGGUGGAAGCAUGAAUUGGAUUGGAGAACAGAUAUUGGUGCAAUCCCAUUCAUUCCUCAGCUGCUAUAGAAUGGUAAUUUUUAUAAUGACCAACUUUUCGGUACGAUCGAUUGAACAACAACAACAACAACAACAACAACAACAAUAAAAGGUUUUGAGAAAUUGCUGUGCAUAUGAUAACUUCUUUCUAAUUAUGUGUUUUUCUUCUUCUUCAAGUUAUUAAAGAUUUCCUGGUUUGUAGAAGAAGCUAAGGGAAUACAUAGUACGUAUAAUGAUUGAUACAUGACUAGUACGUACGAAAAGAGGGAAGACAAGAGUACUUGAUGUAUUUCCAACAAAAUGUUGGAAUUGAAAAAUGAAUUAGGAUUACCCAUAUCAUAACUACAAAUGAUAAUGUUGGGAAAAAUUUAGUAACGCUCCUGAAUUUUGGACCAUAUUUCACUUAAUUUGCACUAUGAACCUUCAAUUUAGUUUUGAGACCCCCUGACAGUCAAUCACGUCACAAUUGUUAGCCAUUUUUUAUCAUGUGUGGGGAUGUGUAAGAAUGUAAAUGAAAAUGUCCCACAUUGGAAAAUUGAGAAAUUUAGCAAUGACUUAUAAGGAGUUGGGCUACUCCCCUUAUUGUCAAUUGGUUUUGUGAUGAAACCUCAAUUUCCUUCUAUUUAGAGUUUAAAAUGUAACACGGCCUAUAAUUUAGAGGGCAUUGUGGCCCUCAUUAAGGGGCAAGGACCUAAAUAUUUUUAAUCAUCGACAUAUAAAUUGGUUGUAGAAAUCUUAGAAUAGUUAGCUGUCGUAAACUCUAAUUCAACGAAAGAUUAACCUCUUUGAAUCCAAUGACUUGAGUGGAGGUCAACUUCUUUAAUUUUCAUUCACAUAAGGGAUGUCCAAGGAAUGGCCAACAACAAGCAAUGUUACCACAUCAUCACCUUAACCCCUUGUUUUUCACAUUCCAAACUUUGAAAUUUUAAUUUCUAGUUCCUCAUGUUACGCCGCAAGCAAUCAUGCCCAAAAAAAAUGAGAAAAGUGGGGCAUGUUCCUUAGAAAAAUUCUUCACUAGUACCAUAAAUGUCACAUCCCAAACGGCGUUAUUUCCUUGUCGUAUUGAAUCAUAAAUACGUCGCGGUUCAAUACAUUUUUUCACAAAACAACGUCAAGAAAUAAGAAAAGAGAAAAAGAAAAGAAAAGAAAUAGAGUUAAUGUACCCAUAAUUGUCGUAGCCCCCCAUGUGGAUGAUUUGAAAUAAGAUUAUUGAGUCGUUGUUAUGUAGAAACUGAGGAAAUUUUAGAGACCUAGUGUGAUUAAAAAUUUAAACUUGAAAGGGGCCGGUUUGAAAAGUUAAUGGCGUUGGCUUAAAUUAGUGGGUGUUGUUGGCCAAAAAGCCCCCACAAUCUAGUUUUGUCUGCUUCAGUUUGACCAAACAAGAGUGUUUUGAUACUAAUAAAGUAUUUAAUCUUUUUUAACUCCAAGGAACAGAGAAUGUUACAUGCCUUAAAAAAGACUCAAAAAACAAAUAAAUUAGGGCAUGCAGCACGUGUGGUCUCUCAGUGAGAUAUUGCGCAGCAAAGGAGGCACGAGGGAGGGAGGGUGGAUGGAAUCAUGAGAGAGAGAGAGAGAGAGAGAGAGAGAGAGAGAGAGAGAGAGAGAGAGAGAGAGAGAGAGAGAGAAAGAGAGAUGAAGGAGAGGAAGAGAGAGGUAGACGCCAAAUGCGUCAAGCAACAUCCUUAAUUUCCUCUCCCUAAUCCCAUUUAUAGUUCGUUACGCUAAAUUCUCACAAAUCCCUAUGUUUUAAUUAACUUAGGAAUGAGAAUGAUGGAAUUUUACGCUACCUUGAGCUGCCAUCUUGUUUUUUUAAUUUACGAAAUCCCUUUUUUAAAUUCAUAAUCGUAAAUUAUAAUUUAUAAUUUAUAAUUGCAUGCAUGCAGCUAACCCUCUCCACUUUAAUCCUUUUUUUCUUUUUUGUUUUGUUUUGUUUUGGGGUCUCUUUUAAUUUGGUUAUAAGGGUUGUUAAAGCCUCUCGUCAAGGGUUAUAAUGGAAAACUUGAAUUUCAAUUGUUUUUGUUUGGUUAUUUUGGCAAGUUUCUUAGUUGGAAAUGUACUUAGAGCUCAAGAGAGUAAAAACGUGAACAAUCAGAUAACAUUUGCGAGGAGGGUGGCAUGUCAUCUUGGUCUUAUUGACAUAACGUUAAUGCUUUCCCUUGUGGUGGUUCUGUUUGGGUUAGCAACCCUCCACAUAAGUAAGCUGUAAAACAAAUGUAAAAAAGUAGUAAAACUUUAACCCUCAAAUAGAUGGCAAAAUUAACGAAAUGUGAUGGAACGACUUAUCAAUUAGCACAACUGAGAGAGUUAGAUUCAGGUAUAAAUUCUAGGACCAUUGAAGUUAAAAGUCCCAAAGUAAAAAUAUGUAAAAGUAAAGAAACCCUUGUGUGCCCACGAUGAGAAAUGUAUAGAUAUUUUGUUCCACCCACUCCACACAUGCUCAUCAACCUUAUCUGAUCCACAAUCAAACCAAAUAGAAACAGUAUAUAUAGAAAACUCUUGAAGUGCAAGGGUGAAAAGCUUUGUGGCUAAUUCUAAUUUUUCACCACCACGCGGGGUUCUCCGAUUGGCUGACCUAAGAAUCAAAAGGUCGCUUAUAGAUAUAGCUAGGGUGAGGCCAGGAGACAGUAAUAUAAUUACUAUACUUAAGAAAUAAGAAUAGCCAUAAAAUGGAUGUGUUGGGGAACAUUAUGACUGCAUAGUUUCCCAUCAUUUUCUUUUUCUUUUUUCUUUUUUUUUGGGUUUUUGAAGUUCACUUACCAUGCACGUAAAGGCGAAAUUGUACUUGUCCCGGGACUAGGAAGCAUAAAGCAACCCCAGUACGCCUUGCUUGCACGGCGAAGCAGUGUGUGAAACGGAUGGAUGGAUAUGGAAGAAUGAAAAAUCCAAUUAUACCCCUGGUCCCUCAACUGCAUAGAUCAAAUAUCCAUUCGAGGGAUGUUUCUGUCAUUUCAAUCUCAUCCAUUUUCUGUCACACAAAGUUCCCAAAAUGGAAGACUGAGCCUAGUCGUGAUGAAUUGUCACACGAAGUGGCAGGAGGGGGAAGCAACGUAAAAAGACUUCCACCUCACCUCUCUCUCUCUCUCUGGCAGAGAGACAGAAGAAGCGUGAGUGAGGUAGGCGUGUGAAUUCAUAUAAUUAUUUAAUUUCUAGCUCCACUUGUGCGAGAAGAAGAAUAAAAAGCAAAAGACUAUGCAAAUCAACGUCCUCUACUCAUCACAUGGUCUAAAAGUCCCAGUCAAAGCCUGUCAGUCUUGACUUUUGUGGAAAAUAUAUGAUAUAUCCAUUGACGUGUGAUCAACUGUAGCAUCUGCAUCUACGGCUCAGAUUACACGUGCAUGGCAAAUCCAAUAGCUAUUAUUAGGGUAGGGUUUUGUCGACAUGCAAAUUCAAGACGCAUAAAAACACUGAGUUAGUCGACGUUGAUUAGGUCAAUUGAUCAGGAUAGUAAAUUUAAUUUUGUAGAAGUGUUUUAGUCUUUUUAACUAGCAAGAGAGGGACUUUUUCCAUUAUGAGUAAUCAUCAGCUUGGGAUAUUCAAGACCCACGAUCAAGGACUUGAUCACCACAAUGUGACUGUGGUUCAAAACUAAUAUAUCUUAUUAGUCUCUUCAAUCAUAGUCAUCGUUCUAUAAAGAUUUUAUUUUACUUUUUUUGUUAGCAAGUUUUUCAAGGCCACCGCCACGUACGUAUGUUAAACAAGCAAGCAAGCGAGUAAAAAUAAAAAUAUGGGUUGGCUUGGUCCAUACUCAACCAUGGCACAACAAGUCACGUGCGCAUGCCUUGCAAUUCAUUUGAUUUUCUACACCAUUUACGAUUACGAGGGUCCCUAAAGAACUGGCAAAUGCGUUAAGCAACAUCCUCUGCUCUGUCUCCUUCAAAUUCCUCUGUUUAUAUAAAUAAAAUAAAAUAAGACGUCUUUCUUUUUAUUUUCCAAUGUACGGAACGAAGAAUAAGAUUGACAUUUCUCUACGUCAAACCCUUGUCCAAAAUAUCGCCAAGUAACCAAGUUCAUUGUAGAUUUCUUUCUAGUUUGUCUCUAGCUAUGUAUACAUAUAUUCUUUUCUUAGUCCAGCCAAUUUAUAAUUUGUUGUCUCUUUUUGUACACCAACAUCCACAACCCACUUUCCCUCUACGUGUACAAAACUUUGCCACAACACAUGUUUUUGGUGGUACCAAAAGUGAGGCACAAUUGGCAAAACAUAUGGCACGUAGUGCAAUAUCUACUUGAAGGGGAGGAGAAAUUAGAAAAAGAGGAUCACACACAAAUGGAUAACAUGGAAAUCCUCCAAUUUUAUUUUGCAGAUAAAAGUUAAUGCUUCUAUCUCUACAAUGGGUUUGUUUAAGCCACAUAUAUUCUUCCAUAAGACUGUGGUGUAUUACGAGCCACCAAGUAUACUUAUCGGUUUAUCUCAUAUAUUCGUGAAGUUAGUCUAAAUGAUAAGGUGGGGUUGGGUUUUACACACACACUUGCCAAGAUGUUAUGAAAAUUCAAACUUAAGACAAUUAAUUUAUAAAUUAAGGUUAUUUUCCAUUGAACUAGACCUCUUAACUAGCCACGAACUUUUUGUACGUGGUCCACCGUCCAUACAAAAGAAAAAACAUUGGCAUAAAACAAUGCAUUCAUUUUAAUGAACGAAUUAAUCAGUAUUUGUCUACAAUAGUUGAACCUUGCCGGUGGGGAAUCAAAAAGUUGUUAAAUAUCAUUGUCGAAUUAAUUAAGCUCCCCUAUCAUUUCAUCUCUAAUUGAAAAUACAAAUAUAAAAGCUAGAUGCUUAUAGUUUUGAAAAAUCCAAAUUUUAUUUUUAAAUAUUUGAGAUUUUGGGUAUUAAUAAUGAUCACAAUCUGUUUUUGAGUGAAGAAGUGGAAAGUGAGAAACGUAUCACUUGAGCCGAGGUGGUGAGAUACCCCAAGGGACUGGGCGGCCUCCAUGCCGUGCCUUGACAAAGAUUCAACGUCACAGCCCAACACAAACGGCUGUUACAUAACGUGCCGUUAAACGCGUUGACUUGUAGACUUUUAUUUUGAGAAUUUUUCUUUUUUUACUGUACUACUGUUGGGAUCGAAUUGCGACACCUAUGCGGUUUGAGCUUCAAAUUUUGUCUUCCGUGGCAAGUGAACUAGGUGCCACCACUUUGCCACUGAUAGCCAAAAGCGCUGCCACGUGUCGAUUGGAGAAAAGAGGCGUGCAUCAGCCAGAGGGAACUACUCACCUGUCUCAUAAACCCCAACAAUAGUGGGUCCCGCCGUAACAGCUCCCCUUCCCUUUAACAGAUUCUGUCCAAAUUUAACGGAAAGGUAUGCUCUUCUGCUUGGCCUUUCUUGGACCCUACCUUAUGAGACGGUGGCUUCCCCGUUCAUCUUGCUACAGAUCGUAUUGGCUUAUGUGUCAUGCAUGCACACUCAACACCAUCAUCAUCUUACCGUCAAUUUAAUAUAAUAUCGUAUAAAUACAACUGGAAAAUGAAUAAAACUAGGGUCCCAUGAAGAUCGCGAAACUACCCGAAUAUACGACUCUCUAUUACUAACAUCGAUAUUGUCUUAAAUAUACCUCCAUGCAUUAGUCCGACAAGUGAGAGGUUUUAUAAAAAAGGUUAAAUGUUGCUAGCAUUGGGACUUUACAUGAGUGAAGAAGGUAUACUUACUCUUAAUAUAAUAUGAUUUGGAUUACCAUGACCAAGAUAUUUAUAGCCAGGUGAUCGAUGAUCGGCUUAUUCAGUAAAAUCUAGGAUCACUGUGGUGCCACGUGGAGUUACACUUGAAAUGCACUCCAAGAUAAAGUAACAUGAACACGUGAACGUGAAUUAGGAGUGAAAACUAAAUCACCGGAUUGAGUGCUAAUUUGUUGUGUGAUUAAAUUAAUUUACACGGCAGCUAAGUGUGCUUUGCGUUGGUUUACUUACUUAAUCAUACUGCGCGACAAAGCUAUCACGUGACCCUUUGCUUUUGCCUUUUGCAUGUCUUGUUGUAAAUUUUAUUUUACUGCUACAAAUCUUUUUAUUUACUUGCUUCUCAAACCACCUCAAUACAUACCCCACAAGGGGUUUAAUUAACUAAUAAAAUAUUUAAAUAAUAAUAAUUAUUAAAAAAGAAAGUGGGUUAGCCUUUAAAAAAAAAAAAAAAAAAAAAUUCAUAUUCAUUCGCUCUUUAUCCCUGUAGUGGAAAAGGUAUCAGAAAGCAUGGAGGAGCGAGGAGGCCAGCUCUCCACCUUUGCUUCCAAAUCCAAAUUACUUAGUGUUAUCUUAGCUAAAGCGAGAGGAAUUUCUCACUGCGAGCCCACCACGUGUCGCUUGCACAAAAACCCUAAUCCAAAUCCAGAGUCUAGGAAUGAAAAUAUCUCAAAUUAUGCCACAUGAGGUGUCAGCGUCAAACAACUUGCAUGCAACCAAAUAUUCUGCAACUAUAUAUAAAUAUUAAUAUUACCCUGACGUGUACUGUGGGAAUAUAUUUUAAGAUCCUAAGUACUCCCAGCCGAUCAUGACACAUCACUAAAUCAGGCAGCGUAAGGGAUUAAGACAAGUGAUCAAUUUGUAAAAGGAUAAUGUCGCAAUACAAUCCUUGUAUUCAAAUUGAACAACAAUGACAUAAUUACAUGCAUACGCCCAUAUUCUUAUCGCAUAUACGAAUGUUUCUAAAAUUUAACACUAUUAAAUUAAAACAUGUAUACGUACCUCUUGGAUAUAUAUCAAUCCUUCAAAUUCCAAUACAAAUAUUUUGAUUCAAUUUGAUUGGUGGCCUGCUUAAUUAGUAUUGUAGACAUUUUGACGGGUAAAAGAGCAAUUCAACUCGUUAUAAGCUCAUAUAAGUUGCGUUAACUUUUCGACGUGAGAACUUUUUACAUCCUCAAAUUUAGUUUGCUUUUCAAUUAAAGGGUAUCUUGUGAUUUUAUUCAGUUAAACAAUGACUAAAACCUCUGCUAACAAAAGGGGUUAGCAAAUUGUAAAGGUGAGCUGAAAUGCCUUGUAAAAUCCGACUCAGUGUUUCUCUAAAUAAAUAAGUACAGAAAACUCUGUUAGUCAAGCCGCUUCUUCAUUUUAAAUGAUUGAUUAGCAAUCCAACACUUGCCAAUUAUGUAUGAGAGAGAGAGGUGGCAAAGUAAGAUACGAGAUGGAAAAUAAUUGGAGAGAUCAUCGAACAAGGUCCUGAGCUAUCCCAUCGAAGAGACAAAAAACAAGAACAAAAUCCGCAGCUAAAUCUUGUUUAAGGACUUAAAGAAAAUGACUCCACGAGAAAAAUUGGAAACACAAGUGGCUCGUGUCUUUGACUCCUUCAAGUUGAAGCCAUUGAAUUUUUAUGGAGUUAAAUAAUUUAGCGUACGACAACACCCCUUCUUGUAAGUUAAGGAACCAACUAAUCCCAUUCCCAACAUAAAUUUGGAGAUCAUGCUUAUCACCUAUAGGGCUACAGGCCUACAACUUGGUCAACCACUUAAACACAUUACUGCCUGCCCACAUAACUAUUAACUAAACUCCAAUAAUUAACGUCAAAUCAUUUUGCUAAUAAUCCUAUCUAUCAAACCGGCCAACUACAAACUCAUUAAUUUCCCUGGAAUUAAUAUUUUAUAGAAAUCCACUGAUAUUAAAAUAAAAUAAAAACCAUGCUGCCCUAGAUAGAAUUGUAUAAUUAUCUUGGAUUGGAUGCCUUGGAAUUUUGAAUUCAAAUAAUUUAGUGGGAGAAUAGUCGCUAAUUUUUUGUUUGUUUUGGAUGUUUUCUGUGGUUUAAGUCGUCUAUCCCUCUGCCCUACAGAUUUUUAUAAUACAUGAACCUCAACCCAAUCUCCUCCACGGAAAAAUAUUGUUAUUUACUUGCGUAGUUCUAGAUUUUUUGUUAUUACGUUUUAGCAACACUGCCCGAUUGAUCCACUUUUAUAAUUUAUUGGUCACAACCUCGAGUUGAAACUUGGGACAAAUUAGUCGGUAUUAACUUAUGAGGUUACUCUCAUCAAUUUAGAGCACUUACGUAAUCGUAACAACAAUAUAAUCGAAUUCUUACAAUCAAGUGAGUGCUCCAAAUUAGUGUCAACUUUCAUUAUAACUUAGGAGAGAUAACUACACUUUAAGGUGUAAUAUUAAUCAUAAAUUAUAAAACCCUAAACACUCUCAGCCAAUUUGGGUUGCUUUCUUAAGUUAUUAAACUCCUAAGGGCUUGCCGGAAUGAGAAUCAAAAAAUAUAUAUAUAUUUGAGAAAAUAAGAGGGGAUAAUUAUGGAUCCGAAUUCACGCAAUAAUUGGGGAAAGUGAAAGAGCAGAGAGAGAGAGAGGAUAAGUAAAAGUCACUCAGUUUCUUUAUUCAUUCCAUUCCAUGUAGUUUUUUUUAUUUCUACUUUUGAUCGACAUGUAGCUCUAUAGUUGGAUAUAGAUGGGAACUUACGAGUGGGGCAUGGAGUGUAAGACUAUAGAUGGAUAAAUUGAACUCAAUGGUCUUUGAGUCUUGACCAAUAUUCCAAGUUAACCUAACCACACGCAUAUAUUUUUGGUCUUUUUGGAACCAAAUCGGCUUCGUUGAUCGCGGGUGCCGUUUUGACAUGAUGGAUGAUGGAUGAUGGCUUAGGAAGGAGGAGCAGGAGCACAGGAGGUUGGCAACAACAACACGGCCCAUUCUUUGUCCCUACGAUGUACGGACCCCACUCCCCUCCCCCUUCCCCUCCCGAUGCUUUAUAUAGAUAGGGCCCCACGUCCCACCUAGCUAGGGCAGGAAAGGAGAGACACGUGGGCCCCGUAGCAUGACAUGAGUGGUCGACAUC